CUCCCGCCGGCCACCGCCGCGCGCCCCACGAGCCGGGCGCCGCCCGCGCGCCGCGAGGCCUCGCCCGCCCCCGGCCCGAGCUCACUGGAGAGAGAGAGAUAGAGUAGCGACGGCGAGAGCGGAGGAGCGCAGUCCACGGCGGCGGCGCGCGCGCGCUCGAGCGCGGCGGCGAGCAGCGGGGUUCGCCGGAGCGGAGCAGAAGCCAUGGCGCGGAGCGGACCUCCAGCGCGGCGGAGACGGCGGCCAUGGCCGGCUCGGGACGGCGCGUCCCUCCCCCCUCCCUAGCCGGUGCGGCCCUCCUCCCUCCCCCUUCCUUUGCCGGCGCGAGCGGCGGAGACGGCGGCCGGCCGCUGCCCUUCCCUCCCGCAGCCGCCACCCACUCCCUCCGCGGCUCUUCCACUCCCCUCUCCCGCAACCGCGCAGCUUGGCCCAGAGCCUGUUAGUCCCUUCGUCGACGCCGCCGGCAAAGUUCGCGAUAUAUCCAUUCAGCGCAGCCGCCUCCGCUUCCAGACUUCUCCCGUCACCCACUUCCACUCCCAGCUCCUCCUCUCCGUCCAAAUCGUCGCCGCCGCUCGCGGCCGCGGCCACCGCGCGCUGCUACUCCUGCUGCAAGUCGCGUCUUCGCGGGCCAGAGCACCUCGGCGAACCGCCGCAUUGCUGGCCACGCCGCGCGCUCUGGAGCCGUGCAUUCCGCCGCCGGCGCCAUCACCCCCAAAAAUCCUGCUGCCUCUCCACCUACUAAACCUACACAACCUGUCUAAAUCCCAACGAGAUUCCUGCUUCUCGACUAACUAGAAGACAAAUCGAGAUCUUCAGCAGAAAGGUCACAGAGAUGCUCUGGUGGUUGGGGCUAAAGCUCUGAAAGUGACGGCACUGAACCUGCACCCACACAAAGCGACAGCGCUGACAGAGAUGCUGGAGUGGUGCCGCUGAGGUGAAUAAAGGAACAUCUUGGCACCGCAUCAUGCUAAGCUUAUCACCAUUAAGGAAGCCGAAACCCUCAUUUCCACAUCAGAAAUCAGUGAUGCCCAGAAACAACAUUUAUAUUGGCUCAGCCCUGCUAAGUUGCACCUUUACCUCGCUUCUUUAGCCAUCAGGAAUUGAAGCUGCCUCCAGUGUUUUGCCAAGCACCCAAAUGCUGCUAUAACCUAUGUAGGUUACUAUCACCGAAGAAGCAAUCUAUUAGUAGACUGUAAUAUUAUGCUCUUUCUAUUCCUCACACAUCCAGAAUGCCCAGCAUAGAUAAACUAAUGUAGAGGUUUGAUUCUUUUCAAAAAAUAUGCUUUGCCUUAUAUUUGACCUGCUCUUCCUGUUACCUUUACAGACAAUAAAUCUACUUUGCCAUUCUUA